AUUAUUUUUUUAAAUGAAGAUUUCUAACAUUGACAUUGCAGUCUGAUGAGUUGUAUUUUUUAGGAAUUAAAGUUUUCUAAUGUAAUGUAUUCUGAAAAGUUAUAUUAUUUUUUAAGAAACAAAUUAAGGUUUUACAGCAGUUAAAUGCAUUCUGAAGCUCUAAAUAAGUGUCCUGAGCUUUGUCUAUGAGUUGGUUCUAAAAGUAGAAAAACUGCCUCAAACUAUGAUCAUGUCAUUGUUAUUUAUAUUGUAGCAAUAAUUAGUGCAUUCGGAUGCUUAGAGGAGAUGUCAGCCUGUGACUAAAGGUCCCAUUCAGUGUUGCUGCUUGAAGAAAUGCCGCACACUUGAACCCCAAACCCCGUAUGUCAUGUAUUUCUAGCUUCCCAUACAUUUGCGGGUUUGCAGAGCCUUUCCCUUCUAGGGUCCUAGGCUGGGUUUGUGUGUAGAAUGUCUGAAUUUUUGAGUUGUGAUCAGUUGAUUCAUACAAAAGAAUAAUGGCAAUAUUAGUCAUGAAUUGUACCAGCAGAGUGGAUGCAUUUGAACCUAUCACCCAAAUUAGGAAAUCAGGGGCCUGUGUCCUUGUGCCUCUUCCCCACUUCAGCAUCUGCCUGACCCCAAGGGAGCCACCUGCCUGAAGUUAGGUUUACCAGACUCUUAUUUUAGAAGCAGUUUAAUCACAUAGAUGUGUUUCCCUGAACUACUUAUUUAGGUUGUUUUAUAGCAAAGGAAUCCUGCUGAUUGUCUUCUGUAACUUGAUUUUUUUCCCCUUGUUAUAUGGCUAAGAUUCACCCUUGUGUGUAGUUUAUUUGUUUUCAUGGCUGUAAUUCCUAGUGUGAAUAUACCAGAAUUUAAAAUCUG